AGGGAAAGGUGAAAAGAACCCCGGGAGGGGAGUGAAAUAGUACCUGAAACCGUAUGUCUACAAGCAGUCGAAGCGAAAGCGACGGCGUGCCUAUUGAAGAAUGAACCAACGAGUUAUCUGCACUAGCGAGGUUAAGUGGAAGACACGGAGCCGCAGCGAAAGCGAGUCUUAAGAGGGCGCUAGUUAGUGUAGGUAGACCCGAAACCGCAGUGAUCUACCCAUGUCCAGGUUGAAGCGCAGGUAAAAUUGCGUGGAGGACCGAACCGGUGAGCGUUGAAAAGCUUUCGGAUGAGAUGUGGGUAGGGGUGAAAUUCCAAUCGAACGCGGAGAUAGCUGGUUCUCCCCGAAAUAGCUUUAGGGCUAGCCUGAGGUAGUAAGUAUAGGCGGUAGAGCACUGAUCGGGCUAGGGGCCGUAAAGGUUACCGAACCCUGUCAAACUCCGAAUGGAUAUACUGUAGAGCCUUGGAGUCAGACUACGAGUGAUAAGAUCCGUGGUCAAAAGGGAAACAGCCCAGACCACCAGCUAAGGUCCCCAAUGUCGUACUAAGUGGAAAAGGAUGUGGGGUUUCAUAAACAACCAGGAUGUUGGCUCAGAAGCAGCCACCAUUUAAAGAGUGCGUAAUAGCUCACUGGUCGAGAGACCCUGCGCCGAAGAUUCCCGGGGCUAAAGUACGAAACCGAAGCUGUGGCUGUAUACGUAAAGUAUACGGGGUAGGGGAGCGUUCCCAUAGGGUAGAAGUCGAACUGGAAGGUUCGGUGGACUUGUGGGAAGUGAGAAUGUUGGUAUGAGUAGCGAAAAGAAAGGUGAGAAUCCUUUCCACCGAAAGCAUAAGGAUUCCUGAGCAACGAUCGUCGUCUCAGGGUAAGUCGGGACCUAAUCCGAGGCAGAGAGCGUAGGAGAUGGACAACUGGUUGAUAUUCCAGUACCGGUAGUAAUUGUUUGAGCAAUGGAGUGACACAGAAGGGCAGGCAAGCAUGCGAAUGGAAGAGCAUGUGUAAGCGUGUAGGGUGGUGCAUAGGCAAAUCCGUGCACUGAAAGCCUGAGGCGUGAUGCGGAGUGAGCAGAGAUGCGAGCGAAGUUGUUGACCCCACACUGUCGAGAAAAGCUUCUAGUGAGAGAGCUACCGCCCGUACCGUAAACCGACACAGGUAUGCGGGGAGAGAAUCCUAAGGUGCGCGGGAGAACCCUCGUUAAGGAACUCGGCAAAAUGUACCCGUAACUUCGGGAUAAGGGUAGCCACUGUUGUGAAGUCCCAUGCGGAUGGAGCAUAGAGUGGUCGCAGAGAAGAGGCCCAAGCGACUGUUUACCAUAAACACAGGUGCCUGCUAAAGCGAAAGCUGACGUAUAGGUGCUGACACCUGCCCAGUGCCGGAAGGUUAAGGAAGGAUGUUCGGAUUAGUCCAAAGCAUUCGACUGAAGCCCCGGUGAACGGCGGCCGUAACUAUAACGGUCCUAAGGUAGCGAAAUUCCUUGUCGGGUAAGUUCCGACCCGCACGAAAGGUGUAACGAUUUGGGCACUGUCUCAACGAGGGACCCGGUGAAAUUGAAAUACCUGUGAAGAUGCAGGUUACCCGCGACUGGACAGAAAGACCCCAUGGAGCUUUACUGUAACCUGACAUUGGGUUUUGAUACAUUACGUACAGGAUAGGUGGGAGGCAUGGAAAGCUGGACGCUAGUCUGGCUGGAGCCGCCGUUGGGAUACCACCCUUGAUGUAUUGAAAUUCUAACCGCGAGAGUAACGAAAUCCGGGACAGUGUCAGGCGGGCAGUUUGACUGGGGCGGUCGCCUCCGAAAGAGUAACGGAGGCGCCCAAAGGUUCCCUCAGCGCGGCCGGAAAUCGCGCGAAGAGUGUAAAGGCAGAAGGGAGCUUGACUGCGAGUCAAACACGACGAGCAGGUACGAAAGUAGGGCUUAGUGAUCCGGUGGUACCGAGUGGAAGGGCCAUCGCUCAACGGAUAAAAGCUACCCUGGGGAUAACAGGCUAAUCUCUCCCAAGAGUCCAUAUCGACGGGGAGGUUUGGCACCUCGAUGUCGGCUCAUCACAUCCUGGGGCUGAAGUCGGUCCCAAGGGUUGGGCUGUUCGCCCAUUAAAGUGGUACGUGAGCUGGGUUCAGAACGUCGUGAGACAGUUCGGUCCCUAUCCAUCGCGGGCGCAAGAGAUUUGAAGGGGGCUGCUCCUAGUACGAGAGGACCGGAGUGGACGAACCGCUGGUGUACCAAUUAUCCCGCCAGGGGUACAGUUGGGUAGCUACGUUCGGAAAGGAUAAACGCUGAAAGCAUCUAAGCGUGAAACCAGCCUUAAGAUGAGAUCUCUCAUAGAGCAAUCUAGU
rnacentral:rRNA from 1 species